rnacentral:lncRNA from 1 species
AUUGGUCUAAACUUUACCAGAGCUGAGGGGACUAACUCCUCAUCAUCUAGUGUCUUAGAUUUCUCUCCUUCUGCGGGAAAAUGAGCGAUUGUACGUCGUUUAACACCAACAGGAUGUAUCAACUCAAAUUCCAAACAGGGUUCUUUCAGUGCUGUGCUCACAAACUGCCAACAAACCAGAUAUUCCUUCAGUAUGCAGGAAGAGAGUUUUAAGACAAAUAUUUUAAAUUUUAACUAAGAAUAGUUGGUAUUAUAUCUAUAUCACAGAACAAACAAUCCACACCAAACGGCUGGUGCAACUUGGCAAGCCAGGGAGAAGGAACAUCACAUUUCAUAGUUUCACACGCUAAGUCCAUGUCUGGGAGUAAUUCUAAAGUUGCUAGAAUACUUCCUAAUUGCUCUGAAACCGUCUUUAAACCACUCAAAAUUAACUUAGUGUAGUAUUCAUAUCAUCGAAACUGAUAUUGAAUGAUUCAAAACAUGUUUUAAAGUCAUUUUGAAAAUGACAACAGAGAUUUUAAUCAUUUCAGAAUCAUUUAGAAAAAUGACCUAAGUUCAAGGGUCUAAGCUAAGAAUAAAGCUAACCUCAUAUAGAGCACUUGUUGGUUCCCAAGGAGAAAAAACACCUUGAAGAACCACACCGUCCGGAAAUUGAAUUCUGAUAACCGUUCUUGUGUACUUCCUCCUAGCAGCUUUUGCUUGUUUUUCCUUGUAUGAUUUGGGAACCAAAAGCUGAGAUUCAGCAAUCUUUUGCUUCCUCAUUAUAGCUUCUCUUUUAACCUCUUCAACAGAGAGUCUGUAAAAGGAGUCUGGUAGUUCAAUCUUCGCUGCAAUGUUUUCAGGGACAGCAAAGAAUACCCGAAUCUGGAAAUAAUAAAUUAUCCAAAACAUCAGCUAUGGAAGUUGUGAACAACAAAAACUAGUACAUUAUAUUUCAAAAGUGUUCAUUCAGUUUCUCACCACAGUAUUCUAACAGAACAUCUUAGUACAAAUUGAUUUCCAGAACAUUUUUUGAGAAGUCACAAAUUGUGACUUCAGCCAGUUAACAUGAUUGAGGCAUACUGAAUAAACAACAAAGCCAUGCCAUGUCCCCAAUAAAUAGAGAUCAAACUUCUCAUCAACAGAAGGUGCCCUUUUCUAUGAUGCAAAUCGUUGUCCAUGGAUCAUAGAGCUACAAUUUUAAGAUUCCUAUUCUGCCUUUUGCAUUAUUAGCAAAAAGGAAAAAUCUAUCUAAUUAUUGGCAUUGAUGAAUUUUGAAAUUCAAAAUAAUCUUGGUUUUAAAAAAGAAAAUUUUAAAAAUUACUCCUUUCUAAAUAAAAUGAAAAUCAAUUCCAUAUAAAUACUUUAAAUCAAACACAAGCAACGAUGCAUCCCUACUGGACCCUUACCCGGGCCUCUGAUAGACCCCAAAUUAUACACCAGUACAGUAGAAGGAAGAAGAAGCAAGGUUAACCGCACGUGCCAGGGAGAAUAGCCUUAAUAGCUUUAAUAUUGUUAGUACAUAAUUCCGUAAUAAAAUAAAAGAGUAUAAAUAGGAGUUUGUUAUGGAGAGAGAAAGUUAGUUAGAGUAUAAAUAGGAGUUUGUUAUGGAGAGAGAAAGCUAGUUAGAGUAUAAAUAGGAGUUUGUUAUCGAGAGAGAGGGGAGUGAGAAUUUUGUGGUAGGCUCAGGAUUUUCCAAGAGGAAAAAAAGAGAGCAGAGGAGAGUCUUUCGUUUCCGAAUUGAGCAUCCUCAAUUCGUUUUACAUUGUAAUUUCGUUAGUUUUCAGGAUUAAUACUAUCGUAACGAGGCUGUUCCUACUUAUUCGGUUUCAAUCAAGAGGAGUUCCAUCAUUUGGUAUCAAAGCUCGUCGAAUCUGGGCAAGGAGAGAACUAUGGUUAACACGCGAUCGGAAGAGAGAAUGGAAGUUCACGGUCAGGAAAUGUUGCUGAUGAAGAAAGAAGUGAGUAAAAUUUCGGCGAUCGAAGAAAGCUUAACAGAGAUCAGUCAACAAACCGAAAAGACGCAUCAAAUGCUGAUGAUACUCAUGGAUUCUAUUGCGAAAGAAGGGACGACAACCAGUGAGAAGUUGGCAGACUACGGCGCACAGGAAACUGGAUGCAAAAAAAAUAAUGAUGGAACUUCUCUUGAUCGAAACCGAACAAGUAGGAACAGCCUCAUUACGAUAGUAUUAAUCCCGAAAACUAACGAAAUUACAAUGUAAAACGAAUUGAGGAUGCUCAAUUCGGAAACGAAGGACUCUCCUCUGCUCUCUUUUUUUCCUCUUGGAAAAUCCUGAGCUUACCACAAAAUUCUCACUCCCCUCUCUCUCUCUCGAUAACAAACUCCUAUUUAUACUCUAACUAGCUUUCUCUCUCCAUAACAAACUCCUAUUUAUACUCUAACUAACUUUCUCUCUCCAUAACAAACUCCUAUUUAUACUCUAUUAUUUAUUAUGGAAUUAUCUACUAACAAUAUUAAAUCUAUUAAGGCUAUUCUCCCUGGCACGUGCGGUUAACCUUGCUUCUUCUUCCUUCUACUGUACUGGUGUAUAAUUGGGGGUCUAUCAUUACAUUCCCUUUCCUUUACAUCGAUGACCAUGAAAGUACUUUUCAUUACAGCGAAAGCAAAGUCCCUUCUCUUUUCGGGCUUGAAACUCUGCAUCGGGUAGUCUCUUCGUCGGGCCUUCUUUCUUAACUUCUCCAGCCAUUGUUCUUAAUGUCACCAUCCUCAUCGAAAAUAUGGUAUUUCCUUUGUUCUCACUGUUAUUCAUCAUUGCACUACUUUUGAUGUUUGAAGAGUUUGGAGGGGGGUAUGAUGACCCUACCAGUCUUGGCAUUGCCAGACUUCAGUAGAACCUUUGAAUUGGAAACAGAUGCAUCGGGGUAUCGCAUAGGAGUUGUGUUAAUGCAAGCCAAGAAGCCGAUUGCCUACUUCAGCCACACCUUGGCAGUAAGGGACAGAGUAAAGCCCGUAUAUGAAAGACAAUUAAUGGCCGUGGUCAUGGCUGUACAGAGGUGGAGACCGUACUUACUCGAGAAACCAUUCAUAGUAGGGACUGACCAGAAAUCAUUGAAGUUUUUACUAGAGCAGAGAGUAAUUCAACCUCAGUACCAAAAGUGGGUAGCCAAGCUAUUGGGAUACUCUUUUGAAGUACAAUACAAACCAGGACUAGAGAAUAAAGCCGCUAACGCCUUAUCCCGUGUACCUCCAGCAGUUCAAUUCAGUAGCUUAACGGCACCAGCAUUAAUAGAUUUAUUAGUAGUCAAGAAGGAAGUGGAAGAAGAUACCAGACUUCGCAAAGUAUGGGAAGCACUACAAGCAGGGGAGGAGAAUACUGAAAGAAAAUUUUCUAUCAGACACGGAAUGCUAAGAUACAAUGACAGAUUGGUGUUAUCUCAGUCAUCAGCUUUGAUCCCAGCCAUAUGGUAUACUUAUCAUGAUUCUGUGCUAGGUGGACAUUCUGGUUUUCUAAGAACUUAUAAGAGAAUUACUGAAGAGUUGUAUUGGGCAGGAAUGAAAACUGACAUCAAAAGGUACUGUGAUGAAUGUCUGAUUUGUCAGAAAAAUAAAUCCUUGGCUUUGACCUCGGCUGGGGUAUUACUGCCAUUGGAAGUUCCCAAUAACAUUUGGAGUGAUAUCUCAAUGGACUUCAUUGAGGGGUUGCCGAAAUCAGGUGGCUUUGAAACUAUAUUUGUAGUGGUCGAUAGGUUCAGCAAAUAUGGCCAUUUCCUUGCCUUCAAACAUCCUUUCACAGCGAAAACUGUAGCAAAAGUAUUUGUUAAAGAAAUUGUGCAUCUACACGGAUUUCCUAAAUCCAUCGUAUCAGAUAGAGAUAAGGUAUUUGUGAGUAGCUUUUGGAAAGGAAUGUUCAAGUUGGCUGGCACUAAAUUAAAUAGAAGCACGACAUAUCACCCACAAAGAGAUGGUCAGACAGAAGUGGUCAACAGGAGCGUGGAAACAUAUUUAAGAUGUUUCUGUAGUGAGAAACCAAAGGAAUGGACGAAAUGGCUACACUGGGCAGAGUAUUGGUACAAUACCACCUUCCACCGGUCAUUGGGAAUCACUCCUUUUCAGGCUGUAUAUGGUCGCACACCCCCUCCGUUAAUAUACUAUGGGGAUCAAAGCACAUCUAACUUCCUGUUAGAUGAACAACUCAAGGCAAGGGAUGAAGUCUUGGAAGUAUUGAAGGAACACCUUUGAGUGGCUCAAGAUAAAAUGAAAAAGAAUGCAGAUUUGAAGAGAAGAGAUGUGGAUAUAAGGUUGGUGACAUGGUGUUUUUAAAAAUUAGGCCAUACAGGCAAUCUUCCUUGCGUAAGAAAAAGAAUGGGAAACUGUCCCCAAAGUUUUUUGGGCCGUUUGAUGUUACAGAACGAAUAGGAUUGGUAGCAUACAAGCUCCAGUUGCCGAAAUCUUCAUGUAUUCACCCAGUCUUUCAUGUCUCGUAACUUAAAAAGAUGGUGGGGAAUCACACCAUGCUGAAACCAGAAGAAAUGGCCUGUUUAAAUGAAAACUAUGAAUGGUUGGCUAUUCCGGAGGAGAUAUAUGGGUAUUCGAAGAACAAGGAAGGAAUUUGGGAGGUACUGAUUAAAUGGCAGGGGCUAUCACCUCAGGAAGCGUCUUGGGAGGAGUAUGAAGAAUUUCAGAAGAAGUUAAGAAAGAAGGCCCAACGAAGAGACUACCCGAUGCAGAGUUUCAAGCCCGAAAAGAGAAGGGACUUUGCUUUCGCUGUAAUGAAAAGUACUUUCAUGGUCAUCGAUGUAAAGGAAAGGGAAUGUAAUGAUAGACCCCCAAUUAUACACCAGUACAGUAGAAGGAAGAAGAAGCAAGGUUAACUGCACGUGCCAGGGAGAAUAGCCUUAAUAGAUUUAAUAUUGUUAGUAGAUAAUUCCAUAAUAAAUAAUAGAGUAUAAAUAGGAUUUUGUAAUGGAGAGAGAAAGUUAGUUAGAGUAUAAAUAGGAGUUUGUUAUGGAGAGAGAAAGCUAGUUAGAGUAUAAAUAGGAGUUUGUUAUCGAGAGAGAGGGGAGUGAGAAUUUUGUGGGUAAGCUCAGGAUUUUCCGAGAGGAAAAAAAGAGAGCAGGGGAGAGUCUUUCGUUUCCGAAUUGAGGAUCCUCAAUUCGUUUUACAUUGUAAUUUCGUUAGUUUUCAGAAUUAAUACUAUCGUAAUGAGGCUGUUCCUACUUGUUCGGUUUAGAUCAAGAGGAGUUCCAUCAGCCUCCUCCCAAUAAAAACAACACAACGAAAGUAAGUGUAGGUUGAUGUUAUUAAUAUAAUUAGAUUAUUCUUAGGAGAUAUUAUUCUUAGGAGAUAUUAUUCUUAGGAGAUAUUAUUCUGGAGAUAUUAUUUGAUAUUAUUUCCUUAAGUGUAUUUCUCUAUGGUUAUAUAUAGGCUUGUAUCUCUAUUAAGUAAUUAAUGAAAUAUAGAUUAAUUCCAUAAAAUCAACAGAUGUUACCCAAGCUACUAAACGACCCAGCUUUCAAAUAUCAAAAGAAGAGAAUCAUUGGUCUCUUCAGAACGAGAGCAACAACCAUAAUAACAACACCCUCCCCUGAAAAAUUUCUCAAGUUGUUUUUAUUAUUGCUCUGGCAUGGAGUAGUCAUAAAUGAUAUCUCUCCUUCGACAAGUUUGAAUGACCUUGGAAGGCUUUAUGUAACUUCCUUACACUCGCGGCCCUCUUUUUUAUAUUUUAUCACAUCAAUGAAAGGUCUUAUUAUUAUGUAUGUGUGUGUUGGAAGGCUUUAUUUAACUUCCUUUCGCUUGCGGCCCUCUGUUUUUAUAUUUUAUCACAUCAAUGAAAGGUCUUAUUAUUAUGUAUGUGUGUACACACACAUACAAAUAUAAGAUGUAGGAGGCAACUAUCAAAUUGAACACCUAGAUGUAUUCCACCGAAACUUCUUUUGUAUUCCUCGGCUUUCAGUUUCUUAUAGAACAACCAUCGUUGUUUCACAAUAGGGCCAAAUUUGCACUCGCUUGGAAAAGCUACAAAGGGUGACAGGAGACGGGGACAAAACUCAAGGUUCCAACUAAAUGGGAAAUCGUGAGAGUAAUAGACUAACAAAAUCAGCAAGAGAGAGAAGCAAUUUGAGGAAAGUACCCAUAAAAUCUAUAUUGGUGACUAUUAUCUUGAACUAAAAUAUGGAUCUCAUAAUGUUACUUAUAGUCACCAAACUAAACAUUUUAAACAAAUUACUUCAAGCCAGUCCUUACCAGAAUUGAACUAUCAUGAGCAGAAUUCUCUUAUCUAGCCAUGAAAAACACUUCUCUAUGUGGUCCUUUGGCAAAAUUUACAUCAUAACCAGUAAUCACAAUGUUAGUUAACAUUCCAUUUGUGUUCUUUUGAAAACUAUAGUCACAACAGAGACAAACCAAGAGCUUCAUCUUUUGCUCACAAGUCAUAGCAACCCUGUUAUUAAGUAGCGUGCAUCACUGUGAAGUGUGACCAUCAAAACAUAAUGGAACCCUUCCAAGAAAAGAGAAAUCGACACAAAAUAUAAAACCAGUGCAAAUAAGAAAUGAGAACCAAACCUGUCUGUCCACCUUCUUUGGUUCAAUCAGGUCAGGUGCUGUGCUGGCUUUCUUUUGCUGUUCUUCAAGCUUUGGCUGGUCAAUCAAAUCGAUUACCUUACAUAAUAGGUU